rnacentral:rRNA from 1 species
UACGUAGGGCGCAAGCGUUAUCCGGAAUUAUUGGGCGUAAAGAGCUCGUAGGCGGUUUGUCGCGUCUGCCGUGAAAGUCCGGGGCUCAACUCCGGAUCUGCGGUGGGUACGGGCAGACUAGAGUGAUGUAGGGGAGACUGGAAUUCCUGGUGUAGCGGUGAAAUGCGCAGAUAUCAGGAGGAACACCGAUGGCGAAGGCAGGCCUCUGGGCCACUACUGACGCUGAGAAGCGAAAGCAUGGGGAGCGAACAGG